rnacentral:rRNA from 1 species
UGAGUGCAGAAGAGGAGAGUGGAAUUCCACGUGUAGCGGUGAAAUGCGUAGAGAUGUGGAGGAACACCAGUGGCGAAGGCGACUCUCUGGUCUGUAACUGACGCUGAGGCGCGAAAGCGUGGGUAGCGAACAGGAUUAGAUACCCUGGUAGUCCACGCCGUAAAACGAUGAGUGCUAAGUGUUAGAGGGUUUCCGCCCUUUAGUGCUGCAGUUAACGCAUUAAGCACUCCGCCUGGGGAGUACGGCCGCAAGGCUGAAACUCAAAGGAAUUGACGGGGGCCCGCACAAGCGGUGGAGCAUGUGGUUUAAUUCGAAGCAACGCGAAGAACCUUACCAGGUCUUGACAUCCCGCUGACCGGUAUAGAGAUAUACCUUUCCCUUCGGGGACAGCGGUGACAGGUGGUGCAUGGUUGUCGUCAGCUCGUGUCGUGAGAUGUUGGGUUAAGUCCCGCAACGAGCGCAACCCUUAAUCUUAGUUGCCAGCAUUCAGUUGGGCACUCUAAGGUGACUGCCGGUGACAAACCGGAGGAAGGUGGGGAUGACGUCAAAUCAUCAUGCCCCUUAUGACCUGGGCUACACACGUGCUACAAUGGAUGGUACAAAGGGUCGCAAAACCGCGAGGUCAAGCUAAUCCCAUAAAACCAUUCUCAGUUCGGAUUGCAGGCUGCAACUCGCCUGCAUGAAGCCGGAAUCGCUAGUAAUCGUAGAUCAGAAUGCUACGGUGAAUACGUUCCCGGGCCUUGUACACACCGCCCGUCACACCACGAGAGUUUGUAACACCCGAAGUCGGUGGGGUAACCCUUACGGGAGCCAGCCGCCGAAGGUGGGACAGAUGAUUGGGGUGAAGUCGUAACAAGGUAACC